rnacentral:rRNA from 1 species
AACGUAGGAGACAAACGUUAUCCGGAGUUACUGGGCGUAAAGGGCGUGUAGGUGGUUUCGUAAGUCUGGCGUGAAAUAUCUCGGCUUAACCGAGGCAGGUCGUCGGAUACUGCGGGACUAGGAGGACGGUAGAGGCGUGUGGAAUUCCGGGUGUAGUGGUGAAAUGCGUAGAGAUCCGGAGGAACACCAGUGGCGAAGGCGGGUCUCUGGACAGUUCCUGACGCUGAGGCACGAAGGCCAGGGGAGCAAACGGGGAUU